rnacentral:rRNA from 1 species
AUUGAACGCUGGCGGCAGGCUUAACACAUGCAGGUCGAACGGUAACAUAAAGAAGCUUGCUUCUUUGAUGACGAGUGGCGGACGGGUGAGUAAUGCUUGGGAAUCUGGCUUAUGGAGGGGGAUAACUACGGGAAACUGUAGCUAAUACCGCGUAGAAUCGGGAGAUGAAAGUGUGGGACCUUCGGGCCACAUGCCAUAGGAUGAGCCCAAGUGGGAUUAGGUAGUUGGUGAGGUAAAGGCUCACCAAGCCGACGAUCUCUAGCUGGUCUGAGAGGAUGACCAGCCACACUGGGACUGAGACACGGCCCAGACUCCUACGGGAGGCAGCAGUGGGGAAUAUUGCGCAAUGGGGGCAACCCUGACGCAGCCAUGCCGCGUGAAUGAAGAAGGCCUUCGGGUUGUAAAGUUCUUUCGGUAGCGAGGAAGGCAUUUAGUUUAAUAGACUAGGUGAUUGAC